rnacentral:tRNA from 1 species
AGCCCCGUCGUAUAGCGGCCAAGUAUAGCGGGCUUUGGACCCGUUGACGGCGGUUCGAAUCCGCCCGGGGCUA